rnacentral:rRNA from 1 species
GAUUCCCCUAGUAACUGCGAGUGAAGCGGGAAAAGCUCAAAUUUGAAAUCUGGCAGUCUAUUUUUUCUUCUUUGGCUGUCCGAGUUGUAAUCUAGAGAAGUGCUUACCUGCACUGGACCAUGUAUAAGUCUCCUGGAAUGGAGCGUCACAGAGGGUGAGAAUCCCGUCUUUGACAUGGACUGCCAGUGUGUUGUGGUGUGCUCUCAAAGAGUCGAGUUGUUUGGGAAUGCAGCUCUAAAUGGGUGGUAAACUCCAUCUAAAGCUAAAUAUUGGCGAGAGACCGAUAGCGAACAAGUACCGUGAGGGAAAGAUGAAAAGGACUUUGGAAAGAGAGUUAAACAGUAUGUGAAAUUGUUGAAAGGGAAACGCUUGAAGUCAGUUAUGUUGGCUAGGGAUCAACCUAGCUGUCUUUUGCUGGGUGAAUUUCCUAGUCUGACAGGCCAACAUCAGUCUUGACUGCUGGAAAAGAGCAGAGGGAAUGUGGCACCUUCGGGUGUGUUAUAGCCCUUUGUCAUAUGUGGCGGUUGGGACUGAGGGAUGCAGCGUGCCGCGAGGCUGGGUUUCGACCACGUUCACGCUUAGGAUGUUGGCUUUUAAUGGCUUCAAUCGACCCGUCUUGAAACACGGACCAAGGAGUCUAACAUGCCUGCAAGUGUUUGGKUGGAAAACCCUUGCGCACAAUGAAAGUGAAAGUUGAGAUCCCUGUCAUGGGGAGCAUCGACGCCCGGACUUGAGCUUUUAGCGACGGAUCCGCGGUAGAGCAUGCAUGUUGGGACCCGAAAGAUGGUGAACUAUGCCUGAAUAGGGCAAAGCCAGAGGAAACUCUGGUGGAGGCUCGUAGCGAUUCUGACGUGCAAAUCGAUCUGUCUA